rnacentral:rRNA from 1 species
CGGUAACGGGGAGGAAGGAGGGGAUGAGGUCAGGUCNGUAUUUCUCNAACACCCUGGGCUAGAAACACGAUACAAUGGUUAGUACAAUGNGCAGCAAAGCCGCGAGGUGGAGCAAAUCGCAUCAAAGCUAAUCUCAGUUCGGAUAAGAGGCUGAAACUCGCCUCUUUGAAGUCGGAAUCGCUAGUAAUCGCAAGUCAGCAAAUUGCGGUGAAUACGUUCCCGGGUCUUGUACACACCGCCCGUCAAACCAUGAAAGUCACCGG